UUUUCUUAUACGUAUUGGUUUUCUGUAAAAGUUUCAGUUUUAUAAACUUAUAAGAAAUUAAUUGGUUCAUUAAUAGAUCUAGACGAAAAUAUAUAAAAUAAUUCUUUUAAUAGUCUGCGAACUAACUUUUUAGACCUAUUUUACAAUUUGAUUUUGGCCCACUUUUUAAUAAUUUAACCCACUAUGUAAAUUUAAAAUUAAAUAUUGUUAACUAAGACGGCUGUGCUUUUGCUAUAUGGAAAGACUUUCUUCUCAUUGGUCAACUCAUAUGUCAUACGACGACUUCCGGAAAUUGGCGUCUCCAUAUUGAAUGCCCAGAGAUCUGUAUCUCUUCGUUACCGGUAUUUCAAUUUUUGUGUUUUUUUUUAUAAAAAAUGAGUUUUGUGUACACUGUUUGUUCGUAAAUUCUUGUUUAUGCAUCACUCAGCCUCUGCAAAAAACGCGAUUGAAUACUACAGCGGCAAUACGAACCGGCAGGGAUGUUAUUGAUUAACUCGAUGGCAGGUAAUGAAAUUUACUUAAGUAAAUUUUGCAGAUGGUGUCCCGACGAAUUGGAUCAAAGAGUGACGCUCCAGAGCACGAUGCUGCCUUCUUCCGUAGAGCAAACCUGGAUCAUCCCCCCAACUUGAUGUUCUGCCUUAGAUGACCUAUGUACCAUGCAUAGGGCCGUAUCCAAGGAAUCACCACCCUCUGGUUUACAAGCUAGGUGUUCUAAUGCUAGAGGCUUCGGCCGGAUACGACCUGGUACCCAAGCUGCGAGACUUCGUGCACGUAUUGCGUUGGACCUCGAGGGCGUAGGGGACGAGAUACGGAUACUCUUUAUGGAUAGAAAUUCGGGGUAGGAUACCCCAACUCAACCUAGAACCAACUAAAGAUAAUUCAAGUUCGUCGCUCAUUUAAAUCGAAGAAGAUUCCAGAUAAAAUAUUGCAAGACGCCUGUGAUUAGUCCUAGAGCUUCUUUGGAUUUUCCCAGGCACCGUCGAGUACUUGUUGACGUGUUAAGUACCAACUCUACAGAAUCGUCCGAUGUCCAGAGAGUUGCAGACAUUUUACAAUGGUCAAUGCAGUGCUCAUUAUGAGAAAGCACUUUUCUGCAGCUGAAUAUUCCUUCUAUAAAUGGAAUACUACAUGUUGAUGGAACAGCAGCUGUAGAUUGUCUUGACUUCACAAAUCUCAUAAUUGAUAAAACUACCAGCAUUCUUGUUAAAGGUAUUUAUUUUGCUGCUUUUGGCUGUUGCUUCAAUACCAAAAGGAGUCUAUAUGUAUAGGAGUUUAUUUUUAUUCUGGUACUGUUAUAAAACUUGAUAAUCUGGACAAACUUCAGACUUUAAAAAUGUCAUUGUACUCCAGAAAAAGUCAUAUAGCUGAUAAUUUCUCCAUUUCUAAAAUUAUGCUUUGAAUUUCAUUUAAAAUUUUGGUAAUAUAAACAAAUGAUCAGUUUAAUUACUGUUGUUAAUAAUUAUUUGCCAAUCAUAUUUUUAGUUAGAUUUGACUUACAUAUUUUGACACAAGUAACAAUUCUAAUAUGCUAUGACUACGCUGUUAUAAUUAUUUUUAUAUCUGUAUUUUAUUUACUAACUUUUGUAGUAUAUUACUUAUGACGCUUUUCAUAUUUUUGUUGAUUUUCCAGAUUAUCACAGUUCUUUGGUAUAUUUCACUUGCGCAAAAGCAUCACUAGAUUGUGGCAAUAUGAAUACAUUAUUUUUUAA
rnacentral:lncRNA from 1 species